rfam:Gossypium arboreum cultivar AKA8401 contig_37583_3, whole genome shotgun sequence.
UGUUAAAAAUUUCAUUCAUUUUAUUAUUAAAAAUUGGUGCGGCUAAGAGAAUAACUAAACAAUUACACAUAACCUGCCACGUGUAUUUUAUUUUUGACAUACAAAAACCAAUUUUUAACAAUAGAAAUAAAUGAAAUUUUUAACA